rnacentral:lncRNA from 10 species
AAAUGAAAAGAGGCUUGCUCAUGACUUGGAAGCGGUGGGCUGAGGCCUCCCAAGACCAUCUGGCUUGUUCCAUUGCCAGCCAGAGUGGAGGCGACAUUCACACGAACCCAGGAGCUGCAGGGGCGCGUGAGCUACAGCUGCCUUGUGGCAUCCAAGGAGUGCGCAACUAGUCUCACUCUGUUGCCCAGGCUGGAGUGCAGUGGCGCGAUCUCAGCUUACUUCAGCCUCCGCCUCCCGGUUUCAAGUGAAUUCUCCAGCCUCAACUUCACAAGUAGCUGGGAUUACAGGGCAUUCAAGCAGCCCUGAGGAGAGGUCCACAUGGUGAGCCACUGAGGGCCUUGCCAAGAGCCAGCACCAACGGUCCAGGUUUGGAGUGUACCACCUUGGAAGUGAAUCUUCCAGUCCAGUCAAGCCUUCAGAUGACUUCAGAACCGUCCAUGUAAGCCACUCUUGGAUUCCUGACCCACAGAAACUGUUGGAGGCAUUAUCAACAGUUUCUAACAUCACAGACAGACAAACAUGUGCCUCCUGAUUGAAAAAACAGAACAUCACCUGUAGUCUUGCCAGUGAGAUCAAACUGAAGUCCAAUUAACCUCUGGAUCCAGCUGCCAAUUUGCAGGAAAUAGAGGAGAGAAGCAUCUGUUGAACUGCACCAUGAGUAUACACUCAGCAAAGGCCAAACUGUGGAAAAUGAUACAGGUCAAACAGCCUGGAUUCUUUAACAGUGAUGUUUCUGAAGCACCAAUGAAAAUGAAGUCCUGAAGUCCUGUGCUCAAUAUGAAAUGUUGGAAGUUAGAAGAAAAAAACAAAACUUGGAUCCAAUCUCAAGGCACUUUUUGUUUAAUGGGAAGAAGUGGAUUAUUUUAAAAGCUACAAAUAAAGUUACAUAAAAGUAGCAAA